UUAAAGUGUAUAUGCAAGGAAAAAUGAAAAAUUUAAAAUUUCGAAAUUUGGAAAGAAAUGACCUCCCUUAACUAGGUAAAAAUAUUUUUAGUUAGUAAAAGCGCUCUAAAAGUAUUGAAAAUGACCUAAAAUGUACGACAAAUACAGCUAUUUUGAAUCGUUACCUGAUGAAAAGACUGGUACCGAAAAUUCCGGCCUUGUGACGUAUGCAGUGUGACACAUCCAAGUGUUUACUUGAAUGAAAACUACAAAAUAUCACUAAUCGCAAGACAGUAGCUUGUAUAUUUUUCCUUAAAAACGCAAAAAAUGUCCGAUAGCGAAAGCUUUGAAUCACAGACAGAUACAGAACAGCCAACAGAUAACGAGGACGUUGUUGAGCCACAAUCGUCUGUUGUACAGCCCUAUCAGUUCGAGCCAGUUGCUGAUCGUGACUAAUGACUAUGAGGAAGACGAAACAGGCGAAGACGGUCUUGAGGCGAGAUUUACGAAAACCGUAGCUGUUAGUUCAUGGUAAGUUUAACAAAGCAGUCUAAUAUCAAAGCGUUUCUCGAAUUAUUUAUUAGCGUGUUUCGUUUAACAUGUGAAUUGAUUUUAGGUGCACAUUUGAGAUUCUUGAAUGUAUGGCCAAAUUUACGUACGAUGGAAAAGACGCUGAAUGUAUUAUAUAGCACUGGGACUAUCCUGUUAUUACGCACCGAACACUCGAACAGUAUAUUACCGCAAAUCAACAAGCAGAACUCAAGACGGGCAAAAUGAGUAAGUCAAAUUAAUUUCACUAAAUUUUGGUCAGUUUUCAUCAGUAUUUUCUAUAUAUAUUCGCAAUAAUCGCAAAUGGUUGUAUUUUGUAAGAUUUUGAAACGUGUAUUUUAAUCUAUCUAUUGCUUUGAAACAGUGCAUUCGUGAAGGUAAUAACUCAGUCUCAGUGUUCGAUUGUUAAUGUUUAGAUACUUUGAUACCUUCGUGCAGUGGCGUAUAUCGGUGGAUAGUGAGAUGCAUGGAUAUUCGGCGUUAUUCGCCAUGCUCGGAUGGGAAAACUCUAGACCGCUUCCAGCAUGCCUGUAUAAUGAAAUCUGGAAGAGGUAUCCGUCUCAAAGCAACACUGGAUAUAAAUAAUCACAGCAGAGAACUGAGAACGUGAUAAAAAGUGUACACUUUGUUACGUAAACUGAUAUUGUAAAUUAUAAGUAUAAAUUAACCUAGUCAAAUAAAUGGUUCUUCACUCGGAC